UGAACGCUAGCUACAAGGCUUAACACAUGCAAGUCGAGGGGCAGCAUGACGAUAGCUUGCUAUUGUUGAUGGCGACCGGCGCACGGGUGAGUAACGCGUAUCCAACCUUCCCGUUGCUAGGGGAUAACCUUGCGAAAGUAAGACUAAUACCCUAUGAAGUUCUUCGCAGGCAUCUAAAGAGAACGAAAGAUUUAUCGGCAACGGAUGGGGAUGCGUCUGAUUAGGUUGUUGGCGGGGUAACGGCCCACCAAGCCCACGAUCAGUAGCCGGUCUGAGAGGAUGAACGGCCACAUUGGAACUGAGACACGGUCCAGACUCCUACGGGAGGCAGCAGUGGGGAAUCUUCCGCAAUGGGCGAAAGCCUGACGGAGCAACGCCGCGUGAGUGAAGAAGGUCUUCGGAUCGUAAAGCUCUGUUGUCGGGGACGAAUGUUGAGACUUAGAACAUAAGUUUCAAAUGACGGUACCUGACGAGGAAGCCACGGCUAACUACGUG
rnacentral:rRNA from 1 species